CCUACGGGGGGCAGCAGUGGGGAAUAUUGCGCAAUGGACGAAAGUCUGACGCAGCAACGCCGCGUGAGUGAUGAAGGCCUUCGGGUUGUAAAGCUCUGUCGGGUGGAACGAAUGGGCGAAGCGUGAAUAAUGCUUCGCUGUGACGGUACCACCAAAGGAAGCACCGGCUAACUCCGUGCCAGCAGCCGCGGUAAUACGGAGGGUGCAAGCGUUGCUCGGAAUUAUUGGGCGUAAAGCGCACGCAGGCGGCGAGGUAAGUCAGUUGUGAAAUUCCCGGGCUUAACUUGGGAGCUGCAGCUGAUACUGCCUUGCUUGAGUACGGAAGAGGGGAGCGGAAUUCCCAGUGUAGAGGUGAAAUUCGUAGAUAUUGGGAGGAACACCGGUGGCGAAGGCGGCUCCCUGGUCCGAUACUGACGCUCAUGUGCGAAAGCGUGGGGAGC
rnacentral:rRNA from 1 species